CCUACGGGAGGCAGCAGUGGGGAAUAUUGGACAAUGGGCGCAAGCCUGAUCCAGCAAUGCCGCGUGUGUGAAGAAGGCCUUCGGGUUGUAAAGCACUUUAGGCAGGGAAGAAAAAAUCGGCGAUAACAUCGCCGAUCUUGACGGUACCUGAGGAAUAAGCACCGGCUAACUCUGUGCCAGCAGCCGCGGUAAUACAGAGGGUGCAAGCGUUAAUCGGAUUUACUGGGCGUAAAGCGUGUGUAGGUGGUUAGAAAAGUCGAUUGUGAAAUCCCUGGGCUCAACCCGGGAACUGCUUUCGAGACUGUUUGACUAGAAUUCGGUAGAGGGAGGCGGAACUCCAGGUGUAGCGGUGAAAUGCGUAGAUAUCUGGAAGAACACCAAUGGCGAAGGCAACCUCCUGGGCCUGAAUUGACACUGAGACACGAAAGCGUGGGGAUCAAACAGGAUUAGAUACCCUGGUAGUCCACGCCGUAAACGAUGAGAACUUGACGUCGGUUUGCUCUGCGAUCGUGUGUGCUACGCGAUAAGUUACUUCCGUCCGUCGGGUAGGGUACGGGCCGGCCGACGGUUAGUAACGUUAAACGUUAGUAGUUAGUACGGCGUGAGACGUGCCGACGGACGACGACGAGGGAGGAGG
rnacentral:rRNA from 1 species